UGAGGAAUAUUGGUCAAUGGGCGGAAGCCUGAACCAGCCAUCCCGCGUGAAGGAAGGCGGCCCUAUGGGUUGUAAACUUCUUUAGUACAUGAAGAACAGGAUCUACGCGUAGGUUUAUGACGGUAAUGUACAAAAAAGCAUCGGCUAACUCCGUGCCAGCAGCCGCGGUAAUACGGAGGAUGCGAGCGUUAUCCGGAUUCAUUGGGUUUAAAGGGUACGUAGGUGGCCCUGUAAGUCAGUGGUGAAAAUCUGCCGCUUAACGGUAGGGGUGCCAAUGAUACUGCGGGGCUUGAGUACAGUUGAGGUAGGUGGAAUGUGUAGUGUAGCGGUGAAAUGCAUAGAUAUUACACAGAACUCCGAUUGCGAAGGCAUCUUACUAAGCUGAAACUGACACUGAUGUACGAAAGCGUGGGGAUCGAACAG
rnacentral:rRNA from 1 species